AAACAAGCCUCAGGAGAAAACAUUACAGUAAAAGGCUCACACAGCAGAGGAUGAAACAUUCAACGUCAAACAUUUGGCUCGAUGUUCCUAUCAAGGAUGACUGACUCCUGCACACACUGAUGACACAGAGCAUUGAGAAAAAAAACACAAGAAAGUUUGAAGCAGUAAAACUACAUCGGUGGUAGAAAAUAUCUCCUUCAACAUUUAAUCUGCCAGAAGAAUGACUGCUCUGAUCUACAAUCAAUAGAAAAUACCAGCACACUGAAUGAAACACUGACCUCUGUCACGAGUGUGAGACGAGACAUUCAGCGAUCCAUUCCCUUGAAACGUUGACAUUUUUAGACAGGCAUAACUGAUUGGAGUGUUUUUAAAACAUGUCUCAAAGUGAUGGAAGCAUCCCUCAACAUUUGUCCGCUCUUCUCAACAAACUCAGUGAAACUGGGACGUUAUUUAUUGAAGUGUAUAUAUCGAGGGAAGAGAGAAUGCGAGCCAUUGCUCGAGAGCUUGCAGAGCUAUCUGAGAAAGUUAUAGACAUGAAUAGAGACAGAACAAAUCAAAUCUGGGCAGCUUUAGGAGGAUUUGGAUUAGCUGUGGGAGUGGUUGCUGCUUUGUUUGCAGGAAGUGAAGAGGCUGUAGGAAUGGCAUUACUAGGAGGAGCUGCAGCAGCAGCAGCAGGAUUGGUUGGAGGUGCAGGUGUUUUCAGCCAAAAUCAAACCCAAGAACAAACAGAGCAAGUAAGUAUAGAGACCGUUGAAAAUUUAGAGAGAGAAUUCAUGGCAACCAUUGAUCUGAUUAUGGAUUAUGUAAAGAAAAUCAACAAGGCCGCAGAGAAGUUGAAGGAAAACUUAACCGGAGCUCAGGCAAACAUUAUUCUGUCAAUAACCAAACAGAGCAGGCGUGUUAUGGAUGUGAGUCAAACAACAAGGAGGCAACUGAGGAAAGCGUUAAACUUCAUUCGCGUAAUCACCCAAACCACUCCCACUGUUGUGGAGGAAGCAAGGCUAAGAAACUUUCUCACCGAAUCUGCCCUGCGUUGUGACUCAAUGAUUAGUGAGUUUGCAAUGAUGAGAGAUUUGCUUGAAGACUUAGAAGAGCAUCAGACAUUAUAGAAACGAGCAGAACUCAAAUUUUAAACAAAGAAUGGUCUGAGUUUGACAUAACACCACUUUUUAGCGCACAUGGUUCUGAAGAGUGAAAUUAUAUUUAGUCAUCCAAAUACUCUGAUGUAGCACAGCAGACUGUCUUUUUAUUGAUUAUCAUAAUACAAACACAGACUUUUACUGCUUGAAUCAGAUAUUAUCAUCUCUGUGUAAACAAGUUCUCCUUCUACCAGUACUUAUAAUGAGACCCUAAAGGGAAUCCAAACCCCCAGAGCACUUAUUUCUGCUGAAAAUCUCUGUAUAGUGUUGUUGACCCAUUCAGGUCAAAAUCUCAACAUUGGAGUACAAAGUAAUGAAAUUCUACAUAUUGUGUUGGAAAUAUGCAUAGUUACUGCCCUCUACUACCGGUUGAAACCUGGCUAAUACAAUUGAAUCUUGCAAAAACGGGCCUAUUUGUUUUUAAAAUGUUUCAACUAUAACAUUCAGAUACUCCAGGGGGCAGUGUCUACCAAUCAGAGAGGUACCCCAUCAUCUCCUGCAGCCAAAUAAUUUGCUGGACUUAAAAUAGAGUAUGUGCGUGUAGAAAAUGUAUUUGUUGGUUUGAAGGGGAUACGAAUUUUGUAGCAGGCAGAAAUAUGCGGUUGACUAAGAUUAAAGGAGCAAUAUGUAACUCUGACACCUAGUGUUUAAAAUGGGUAUUGCAGUCUAAAGUCAUCAAAAACAUCGGAGAGCUCUGUCCCCCAUUCACAGCAGCACAUACAGCAACAUUACGGCAACUUUCAGUAGCAACUCCCGCUUCCUUACUCAUCGGUCUUUAACCUAACAUUCGGUGUUACCUUGGCAACGAUAAGCAUUAUGUCUGUCAUGGCGGCUCAUCAUGGCGGCCACCUCAACAAGACACGUCCCAUUACAACUAUAAAAUUACGGAUUUCUCUGGCUUUGAUAACUGUUGGAAAUAUUUAUGGUAAUGUACGUACUCAACAAAAAAUAAUAUAUAAAACAAGGCUUAGUCCUUUUUUAAUUAAUUUAGAUAUUUGAAUGUAAACAUUUUCGUACAAUUCUACAUACUGAGAAAGUGGUGGUGGGGUUACUAACGUUCGUAUUUUGUUUAGAUUUAUUUCAGUCCUAUGCAGCAUUUUAACCAUGUACAUCUUUACCCAGCUUUAUCUUCUGUACCUAUUUGAAUGGAAUCUAUAACUGUACUGCAUUUAUUUGUAUGGUAUUUUAUUUUAUUUUCACCAACAUUAUACAACUGGUAGUGUUUUAUAUUGUAGCACAAACCCCUUUACGAUGUGUAGUACAGUUUGUCUGAAUGUGAAAAUGCAAUCCCUUUUUGUUUGUUCACAGGUACUUACAUGUGUCUUAUUUGUCUGUAUCAUGAGGCAUUUUGAGCAAAUUGUAUUGCUAUAGCGUUAAAGACUAAGCUCUUACAUUAUGUUAUCUUGUGUUUGUUUGCUUCAUGGUUCAAAGAUUUAACAGUAUCUCUUUCUCUUUUUUGCUAUGAGGCUUCGCUUAAUUUGUCAUAGGGCAUGAUUUUAAGACUUAUUAUUUCACAUCAUGUUAUUUGUAUUCACGUAUAUCAUGUUAAUGUAUUAGUUUAAAAAUCUGUUUAGUCUGAUUAUUCAUACAGGUAACAAACAAAAACACUCAAGGAUAUCACACACAGGUAAACAUUGCUUGCUUCGUCAUUCAAGAAAACCUUGUUUGGUUUCAGUUUUCUUUAUGCCUCAAAUAGUUUAUUUACCUGUUUUUUACCUGUACCUUGAGAAGCAUCUGUACAGAAGAGAUG